rnacentral:lncRNA from 1 species
AUGUGUUUUGUGGGUCUGGAGAAGGCGUAUGACCGGGUCCCCCGGGAGAAACUGUGGGAGGUGCUGCGGGAGUAUGGGGUAAGGGGGUCUAUCCUCAGGGCCAUCCAAUCUCUGUACUCCCAAAGCGAGAGCUGUGUUCGCGUCCUCGGCAGCCAGUCAGUUUCGUUCUCAGUGGGUGCUGGUCUCCGCCAGGGCUGCGCCUUGUCACCAAUCCUGUUUGUGAUAUACAUGGACAGGAUAUCGAGGCGUAGUCGUGGUGGGGAGGGGUUGCAGUUCGGUGGUCUGAGGAUCUCGUCACUGCUUUUUGCAGAUGAUGUGGUCCUCAUUGGAUCAUCGGCCUGUGACCUUCAGCACUCACUGGAUCGGCUGGCGGCCGAGUGUGAAGCGGCUGGGAUGAGGAUCAGCACCGCUAAAUCUGAGGCCAUGACUCUUAGCAGGAAACCGGUGGAUUGCUUACUCCGGGUAGGAAAUGAGUCCUUAGCCCAAGUGAAGGAGUUCAAGUACCUCGGGGUCUUGUUCGCGAGUGAGGAUACUAUGGAGCGUGAGAUUGGUCGGAGAAUCGGAGCAGCGGGGGCGGUAUUGCGUUCGCUUUACCGCACCGUUGUAACGAAAAGAGAGCUGAGCCGCAAGGCAAAGCUCUCGAUCUACCGGUCGAUCUUCGUUCCUAUCCUCACCUAUGGUCACGAGGGCUGGGUGAUGACCGAAAGGACGAGAUCACGGGAACAAGCGGCCGAGAUGAGUUUUCUCAGAAGGGUGGCUGGCGUCUCCCUUAGGGAUAGGGUGAGAAGCUCAGCCAUCCGUGAGGAACUCGGAUUAGAGCCGCUGCUCCUUUACUUAGAAAGGAGUCAGCUGAGGUGGUUCGGGCAUCUGGGCGUCUUCCUUGGGAGGUGUUUCAGGCACGUCCAGUGGGGAGGAGACCUCGGGGAAGACCCAGGACUAGGUGGAGAGAUUAUAUCUCAACACUGGCCUGGGAACGCCUCGGGAUCACCCCGUCAGAGCUGGUCAAUGUGGCCCGGGAAAGGGAAGUCUGGGGCCCCCUGCUUGAGCUGCUCCCCCCGCGACCCGACCCCGGAUAAGCGGACGGAAAUGAGUUGA